CUCCAAGUACAAACAUUGCAUCUUCAAUUGCAGAUAAAGGAUGCUGGAGUUUACAUAACAUGUGGCUGCAUCUAAUGAUUGGUUUGGAUUGGAGUUUACAAAGAAAAUAGAAAAAGAAAUAAGCAAACUUGGUGAGAUAUUUCUAUGUAUACAGUUUGUUUUUGUGGUUGUUGUUUUGAAUAUUUUGUUAAAUUCUGUGAAUUUAAAACUGGAAAAUUUCUUGACAUUUGAUUCAAAGUGUGAUUAGACUUGAAUGAAAACAAAAUAUAGUUGCUUUUGUGUAAUGUGUUCAUUUUGAGAUGGUGAAAAUCAGGUAUUGGUAUUUUGGUAGUCAUGUCGGGUUGACCUGUUUAACCCAUUUAGUUAUACCAGAUGAUCUCUAACCCAUUGAAGGUUCAUGUCUUUGACAUAAAUAUACGAGUUUUGAUAGAGUUCAUCAAUCAUAGUAAUCUAUACAUAUAAUAAAAGAAACUCCAUUGAGGACACAUGGCAGCUUCUCAGCUACUCUCUAAUUCUGUUUCCCGCUUAAAUCAUAAUUACCUUCUUUUCCUCAAAAUCUGCCAAAAAUCUCUCAUUGUUCACCCCUGUUUCAUAAACCCUACCCUUCACCUUUAACCCUUUUCUUUACCAAACCUCUAGAUCUACUCCAUAUCUUCCGAUUUCAUAUUUUCAGAAGGCAAGAUUUGUGGUAGUGAAACUUAAUCACGGGCCGGCUGAUGGGUAAAAUUUCUGAAGCAGCUUUGUGAUGCAAUUGGAUGCGUGGAUUUUUGCGAGUAAUAAGGGUUUUGUUGUUCUUCACAGAUUACAAGUGAAGAACCAAUACGAGAAUUUUCCGGUAAGCGGCGACUCUAUUUCGCUUCUGGUUAUGAGAUUGAACGAGGAAGAUGACGCCUUCAAAAUAUUUAAAUAAUUAGUUUUUGGGUCUUAACCUCUUAUGGUCUUUCAUUUAACUAAAAGCAAAUACACCAUAUAACUACCCAUCUGUAUAUAAAAUAUUAAAUUUAAUAUUAAAGGAUUGCACAAGACACUAUGAUCUGAGGGCAUAAUUAAUUUUAGGUUUUUUACUUAUUGUUUGUUAGCUUAUUUUAAGAAAUUGUAUAUACAGUUUGGUUCUCUUUUUUUUGUCAUUUUGUUAAAUACCAGGUUAUAGUCUUGUG